CAACAACAGCCCUCUCUCUCUCGCGUGAGCGUGCUUCUCAGCUCCUGUCUGCUCACUCUCUCUCUCUUAGUUCUCACAUUCUCACUUUAAGGCCAAGAAAACAAAGGCAACGCUGAAGUUCAAGAAGAGAAGGAAGCACUAGUAGCAUCUCAAACUGAAGUAAAAAUUUGUGAAGUUUAUAGCCCACAGAUCCAGAAAAACAGUGAAAAAGAAGAUAGGAUUUUGGAUACCGAAUUUGAUCGUGAAGGUGACAAAGUGAAGCAUAUGGGUUCAUUGAUGGGUGCCACUGCAGUUAACGUCCAUCGAAGUGAUGGAGAGGACAAUCCAUCGCAGGCAGAAGACUCACCACCAACGUCACCAUUGCCAUCACACUUAAGAAAUUCGGCAAGUGGGAAAAUUAGAGAAUUGAGAUUCAGAGAUGGACCAAAUAAGCCCCCACUGCCAGAAUGGUUCGACCAACAGCCGCCAUUGUCAAAACCGCAGGACAUCGGCUCUCACACGGUGGCUGCUGAUAUUCCUAAGAUAAAGUCUAGGAAUGAGAAAGUUCCAUUGUCGGGGACGCUCUCGUCCCAAAACCCGGUCACGAUAGGACUGAGAGCAGCGAGAGAAUUUGAUCCAGGAGGAAAUUUUCCUAUUUUAUGUACGACACAAUGUUUCUGUUUCAACUUAUGGGACUCUGGUGGACACUUAUGCUAUCCUUCACCUUGAGGACAAGUUGCAUACAUAUGGAUCAGGAGGAUAACCAGGAUGAGCAGGAAAUUGUUGUGAACAAAGGUGGGAAAUCAUUCCGUGUUAAAGUGAAGGGUAGCAUGACCUUUGAUGAAUUGAAAGCAAAGAUUAGCCAGGAAUUCGACAUCCCGCUAGAAUAUCAACGUGCCGCAAUUUUGAGCAAGCCAACAGUAACAAAUGUCUAACAUAAUUGGUGAUUUACGAGAGAAGGCCAAAGUCAGGGUCACUGGUACUGUAACUGGAGGAACUGAUGGAUCUAGUAGAGUUCAGUGGUACAAAUCAUAUUUGUCAACACUGGAUGAAAACAAUCUCGCAGCAUUAAGUACUUCUACAGCAGUUGCUAAAGCUUUCCGCAUUCCUCCUGGAGCUAUUGGCUGUUACAUUGUUGCAAAAUUUACACCAAUGUCUCCUGAUGGUCGUUCUGGUGAACCAACAUUUGUCAUAUCUGACAGAACAAUUGAGUGUCGAGAAGGAUAAUCAUUGUCAGCAGUGUCUCCUGUUGUAAAACAAGGUGGACCAGCUUUUCAGAAAUGAUCAACACGGUCUAAAAAUAGUAGUGGAUAGUUAGAAUGAAUCUGACUUGAUGGUAUAGUUCUGACACAUUCGGGAUGUUAUUUUUCUUGCUAUUAGAGGACUUGCUCUACUUCCCUAAUUCCCGUCUCAAGAUAGAGACAUGAUUUUUCUAAUUGGAACAUUGUAUAAUCUAAUUUGAUUUGGGAAACCAACUUUCGGAAACCGUUAUCUCAAUGUUUGCUUGUCCGCCAAGUAUUGUUUGACAUCACGGUUUUUUUUUAGGGUUGACAUCAGUUAUUGAUGCUAUAAA